ACACACACACACUUCUGCUGCUGCUUCCGCCGUGAGCAGCACGGGAGUCAAGCCUGCUUAGAAAAAUGUCCCCGAUUGUUUUAAACUGACAACACUGGGCACAUGCUGGCAAGUAUUAACACCAACAAUACCAGCAGCCUCACUUGCAUUGACAGCACUAGAAGCAGCUUUUUUUUGAAGGGGGGGGGGUCCCCUGUGUAGCGAUCACCGGCUGCAACGCUGAGAGAGGUCCACUGCCAACUAGAAGCCUUUCAUAUACUGCUUCCCAAGGACAGCGGCUCCGAGAUGGGCUGCUCCUCAGGCCGCCAGCCCCCUGCCCCGGUCUUUCACCCAGACUUAGGCUGCGGCAACGGUAGCGAGGCCAACACCUUACCACAGGACUCUGAAAACCAGAACCAGGAUUUGAAUGGCUGCGCAGAAAGAGAGGAAGAGGAAGGCAGCGUUGACAGAGACAAAGUGAAACCUCCAGAAUCCCUCCCGACGCUCGAGAGACUCGCCCAGGCUACAGGUGGAACGGAAAAGUCCUGGUACCGCUGCGUGUUCCCGUUUGGCGUGAUUUCAUUAGUGAUCGGCAUGGCUGGCACCGGGGUCACUUUCACCUUCAACACGCUGCUCCAGACCAAAGUUGUGUCCGUGGCACUGCUGUGCGCGGGUGUUGUGAUGCUCCUUGUUGCAGCUGUUUGCUGGAGGGCCCACAGACUGAGAAGGAGGAAAAAGAAGGAAGGGGGAUUCUUCAGUACUGAUCAGGGUAUUUUGUGAUGGAGCGAAACCUCACUACCAGAUAAUAGUAAGUUGGGAGCCAUUGAAGUUCAACUGAAUACAAAACAUAUGUAGGAACAUCCACACUUUUCUUCUAUGCAUCAUGACAAGGUGAUAAGGCAGGUAAAAGAGCUGAGUAAUAUACAUGAGAUUAAGGCAGGUAAAAACUUUUGACACUGCUGACUAAACAAGUAGAGGAAAGUAGAAAAUGCAAAUGUAGCAUUGGUCCAUUAUUACCCUGAGCGUGCCUCGCUCAGAACUUCCUUUUUUCUCUCAUUUUCUUUCCCAUUAUGGAUUUCUUGGGGCUCGAGUGGAGCACAGAGCCUGGAGCAUACUUCAUAUAAUUUAUUUCAGACUGGCCUCUGGUGUCACAUAAGAGUGACAGAGUGAUAGGUGCCUGAGAAAUAUUAUUUAACACCUCCCCUGCAGUUUGACAGGGCACGGUCUCCCUCAAGAGGUGUGCCUGACAGAAGGUGAUGUCUAUAAACAGAUGCCUGUGAGGAACAUCUGAAUAAACUUGGAAAAUGAGGAACUGUCUGGAAGGAAUUGUAAGUCUUUCAUGUUUGCUAGUCCAAACUUUGCAAUUGGUUGACAGAACAGUUUUCCCACCAAUGUCAGGACCUCACGCCCCUGCCUGAUUUAAAAUCUGGCAUGGCUAAAAGAAAUAAAUGAAACAUUAUCUUCCCUCCUUUAGACUUGAACCUCCUAGUCUUUGACUGCUCCAGAGCGUCAUUAGAGGAAAGUGCCUCACGCAGUCGGGGGUUGUGUAUGAAAGGAAAGCAGGGACCCAAACAAAAUCAUGUGAAUGGAGCGAGCGUGUAAAGCACAUUUUCCCCAGGGUGAAAAACUCUUCACAUGCACUUGCCUGCAAUUUUGUGGAAUAAAGGUCAACUAAUUUCCUUCCUGCCACCAAGCUUUACGGUGGGAAAAAACGUAAUCCAGCUGUGCCGGAUCAAUAGAAAAACCAGCACUCCGUGAAGUAUUUAGCUUUGAAGGUAAUUCCACUACGUUUUCAGUCUCCACGGAUGAAAUAGCUUUCCUCAGCCCUCUUGGCCUGUCCAUGAGGAGUUUUGUAUUGACAAGGAAAUCCCAUUAUAGAACAACAGCCGAGAAAAGCACACAGCUCAUCCUUGUCCUUGCCUCUACCUGAUUCCUCUUAUACGGCCUUAUGCUGAACCAAACAGAGGCGACCCAAUUGGUGUGAGCAUUGUAGAAGAAUCAAAUUUCCCUCCUUUUUUUGCCUUUCAUUUCCCCUGCUUUGUAAGGAAGGGUUUACUAUUUUGUUUAUAUGUGUUGAAAAUUGAUAUCAGCCCAACACCUUCCCAUGGGCACAAGACUUAACCGACAAUUUCCAGUGGAGCAGGUUAGCUUUAUAACAGAAUGGUAGCUAUUGUAAAACCCGUCUCAAUGCAUUUGUCCUGGAUAUUGUACUUUCUUGAGCACUGUACACUAGGAUCACAUGAAUAAAAGUCAGAUACUUUAACUAACUAGCUGUCAAACAACAACCACAGAAAGAUCAAAUCUUUCUUGUGGGGCCAAGAUGUAGCAUUUCUCAACUACAACAGUUAGUGUAUGGUCUAAAGCAGCAGCUCAUAUGGUUUCAAGGAUGACCCAGCAGAUACUCAUCAGCUGUAGCAAUGUUGUUGUAUUUGAGCAUUGAGAUUCGAUCCCAUCUAUUUGAUGAAACAAAAAGAAGGAAAACUUUACGGGGCCUCAGGCGCGGUCAAAUCUUUUGCAUGCAAUUGCGACUGUUAUCCUGUGGAGCAGCAGCUGUUGUAAAGUGUAAUUUAUGCGGGCGUGCGCACCAAACUUCCACUUAAUUCAGUUUCUCUUGGUUUUCCUCCUACAUAUCGAUAAUCCUGUUUCAUGGGGAGCUUUCACAGUCUGCUCAUAAAACCUGAGAUGACUCCCUGGCAGUGUUGAUGUGUUCAUUCUUGUGCACAUGUUUGUUUGUCCUGAAAUACUGUGUAUUCUUAUGAAGACAUAUCUGAAGUGCUGUAGAUACUGAGUCGAGGUAAAAGUGUAGCCACAGUUCUGAAUGUACAGCCAACAGUGAGUGUCUUAUGAACAUCAAUGUACAGCCUGUAAAGACUAUAUGUAUAUUUAUAUAUCUUCUAUUUUUGAGUAGACAGAGCAAAUUUAGAUCCAUUGUGCAGUAUUCAUCUAUUCAAGACAUUUGCCCAAACUGCUGUUUUAAUUUCUAUUUCAGGGCUCUCUGGCUAUGAUUAUAUCAAGUGAGAUUCUGUGUGUUAAUUGUAAUCAUUCUAAAAUUAAAAAAGGAAACUAUCUGAUGAAAUGAAAGCCAAAAGUCCCACUGAUGUGAAGUACAUAUGAGUUAUAAUUAUAGCCAGUUUUAUCACACUCUGUUAGUAUACAUGGGUUUUGACUUGACGUUUGGUCACUUGACUUUGACUUCAAAGGCAUGGCCCAGCUUUCCUCUGAGUGACCUUUACCUGCCACAUCAAUAUGUCUCUGUUAGGUGCAGUAAAUGUACUACUGGUACCGUGAUAGAGUAGCCCAAGAGAGGCAAACGUGUUUUUUCGACCGAGUUUGUGAGUGUUUUGAUGGGCAUGAAUAUUGUAGGUGACAAUUUGAUACCGUUCCUUUUGUAAAUGAUCAGAAAUACCAAAUCUAUUUAUCCAGAAGUUUAUUUUUUGUUCUUUAAUGUGUGUAAGAUUUACAUUUGUUUACCGUGAACUGCUAAAGCACUGGAUUAAAUGCAAAAUUCACUUUUGGAAGCAAGUUUUA